UACGGAGGGUGCAAACGUUGCUCGGAAUCACUGGGCGUAAAGCGCACGUAGGCGGUCCGAUAAGUCGGAUGUGAAAGCCCUGGGCUCAACCUAGGAAGUGCAUUCGAAACUGUCGGACUUGAGUACGGGAGAGGGUUGCGGAAUUCCCGGUGUAGAGGUGAAAUUCGUAGAUAUCGGGAGGAACACCAGUGGCGAAGGCGGCAGCCUGGACCAAUACUGACGCUGAGGUGCGAAAGCGUGGGGAGCAAACAGG
rnacentral:rRNA from 1 species